rnacentral:lncRNA from 1 species
GGAAGAAAGAAGGCAGGCCAAGCUAACCCAGUUCUCCAGCACACAUUCAAAGGCAAGAGGAGUCUAAAAUAUCCUUGGUCUUCCCCACCCCACCCACAGUGUGUAAGUACAAUCAUAGCACCAAGUAUGUCUUUCUUUAUACUUGACCCAGCUGUCUCCCAGUGGUGCAGUGAGAGCUACCUAAGGAGGUACUUUGGUGCUUUGGAGAAAUGUAGAUCUGGAUUCAGCUCCCUGCUUGACUAUUUAAGAGUUGUGUGGCCUUGGGCAAAUUACUCAUCUCUAAGCCUUUGAUUUCUCCAUGGUAAAAGGAGAUAAUGAUAGUGUGUAAGGCUUUGAAAUGGUAAUCAAUCAUUUGUGGUACAUGUUCAGACAAUGCUCACUCUUACUAUUACUCCCAAUCCACAGCCCAGAAGGGUGGGCAGAUAAGUAGCUAACCGAGGGGAGGCUGGGGCAGUUGACACCUGCUGUUCUGAGUUUCCCUUGCCUGCUCCCUAGUGCUGGCCAAAGACCCUGGCUGGAGAAGCAGGGAAUCAGCCCUGGGCUGCCACGGUAAGGCCAAGGGUUAGAAGAUGGAGGCCUGGCUAACCAGGCCCAGGCUCUGCUCAACCCAGGAGGGUUCCAAACACCACAUUUGGAACUUCACCCUGUGACUUAGAGGUGGGAAUCUAUGUAUUUCCUAAUAACUCUGUUUCAAAGCAAGUUUACUUCUGACUGAGACAAACGUGGGUGUGGUGGGUUCCUUGUAUUCAAAACGAAACAAAAGAAAAGAAAACAAAGAGCACCCCCUCCCCCAAGCCCGGAAGGCCUGUAGACCUUUUCCCAGGCAAAAUGUGCGAAAAGAGGAGGGAGCGCCUUUGUGGGUGCUGUCCUGAUUUAGAGCUUAGGAGCACAGCCCUCUCCAGCCCUCCUCAAGUCUGAGGUUCCAAGCUGUUAAAAGCACUGGGGUCCCAGGGGCGGGGUGGAUGAGAUUUGUUCAGCCCAUCCCCAGUCUCAGCGGCUUGCUCAGCCGGUCCCGCGCAGGGGAGGACCAGAGCACCGCUGGGUUGGACGCACCCCACCCGGGGAAGCACCCGCUCUCCCUGCCGGAAUCCCUGGAAUGUCGCCGGUCCAGGAAGUGUCUAUCCGGGCUCUAUGCAGAGGGAGGGGUUAAAACGUGGAAUUUCUCGGGGUGCUUUUGCACAUAUUCCCCUCAAGCUUUUCAGCCCCAUGAAGUUGAAGCUCACGGGGGUGAGAAGGAAGCCGCCUACUUCUUCCCCUGGCCGACUUUGUCUCAGGAAGGUUCGCAAUCCCUGCUCUUGCCAAAAUAAGUUAUUAUGCAAGGAAACAGGAAAUCUUGGUCAAAUUACCAGCCCAGGGUCCACAACAUAGAGAUUAGGAACAGAUUCAGCAAACGGAAACAAGGUAAGCAACAAAAAGUGAUCAUAUCCCAAUCAUCAAAGGUAGGACUCCAGAUCUGUUGAUCUGGAGUCAAGGAGAAAAGGGGAAACUAUUUAGGUUCAAGAAGUAGGGCUUGAAAGGGGACUUAUCAGUGGAGACUUCAAGAAUAUCUGGUAGUAUUUGUUCACCCUACCCUGGUUUGUAUGUGAGUAAUCCUUGCCCUGCCCAUUACCCAAAAGGAUUCUGAUCUGAAGACUAAUAACUAUAUUUUAGAACAAAAAUACCCUCAAUUUUAUGUUAAGCAUUCAUUAAAAUAAGUCACAUAAUAAAGUUGAUCUGUAUCAUGAGGGAGAUAUAUCA